rnacentral:tRNA from 1 species
GCCCAUGUGGUAGGACACGCCAAAAUGCAAAUUUGGAGACGCACCCUAACAGGUGCCGGGGCUUCUCCCGUCGCCUAGUGAAACGGGAGAAGC